GUCCCAGGUCCCUGGGGAGGCGGCGGGCCCCUCCUCUCGGCCCUUCCAGACCCCCAUCCAGCAGCGCUUGUACCCCGAGAUGGUGAGAGCCCUGUAUCUGUCUGUCUCCCUUCAGGACAGUGAGCUGAUCAAGGGGAGCCCUGUGUCCUCACCCUAGUGCUCCCGGCACUGCACUGACAAGCUGUACCUGCUAGAUUGAAACUGGGCUUCAACUACCUCCAUUUUGACCUCAAACUCGCUAAUUGAUUAAAUUCUUCCUUUUAGUUUCCCUCUUCACUCAGGCAGAAAACCCUGCAGGCAAGCGUCCCGUGAUGGAAACAAACCACCCCCUCAAGCAACAAGAACUGCCCUGAGCCAGCAAGACCAGGGUGACUGACUGCAAGACAGUGAGCGAUUUGACCUUCGCUGCCCACUUGUGGCCCAAGUCGUGAUCUCCUGUUCAUCAGAUCGAGCCCCACUGCCAGCUCUGUGCUAACAGCGUGGAGGCCGCUUGGGAUUCUCUCUCUGCCCCUCCCGCACUCCCUCUGUCUCAAAACAAAUAAACUUCUAAAAAAUGUUUAAAAGAACAAAAGCAAACAAAAAGCAAAACAACAUAAGACCUGGAAGGUAUUUUCAGUCCUUUGGAGACAGUCUUUGAGAGGGUCCACUGUCUUCCCGGUGGUGGCCUCCCUGGAAUAAAUCCCAUUCUUGUUU